GCCAUUCAAUACGUGAACUUU
rnacentral:snRNA from 1 species